ensembl:snoRNA small nucleolar RNA SNORA11
AGACCAUGCUUGAGGGGCCUGAAGAAUGGCUCUGUUUACAUACAACACAACCAACAGGAAUUCCGGUUCAUUGUGACGGGGGCACACCUUGUGGCCUUCCUGUGAACAGUUGCCCUACACAU